UGAGGAAUAUUGGUCAAUGGACGGAAGUCUGAACCAGCCAAGUAGCGUGCAGGAUGACGGCCCUAUGGGUUGUAAACUGCUUUUAUACGGGGAUAAAGUUAGGGACGUGUCCCUAUUUGCAGGUACCGUAUGAAUAAGGACCGGCUAAUUCCGUGCCAGCAGCCGCGGUAAUACGGAAGGUCCGGGCGUUAUCCGGAUUUAUUGGGUUUAAAGGGAGCGUAGGCCGUAGAUUAAGUGUGUUGUGAAAUGUAGACGCUCAACGUCUGACUUGCAGCGCAUACUGGUUUAGUUGAGUUUGCACAACGUUGGCGGAAUUCGUCGUGUAGCGGUGAAAGGCUUAGAUAUGACGAAGAACUACGAGUGCGAAGGCAGCUUGCGGGAGCAAAACUGACGCUGAAGGUCGAAAGUGCGGGUAUCGAACAGG
rnacentral:rRNA from 1 species